CUGUGUAUGUGUAUAUAUGAGCAAGUGGCAAAGGACUUGAUAGUUCGUAUCCGAGGUUCCAAGUUCGAAUCCUAAUUGAUUUACAUUUCUAGCUAAGUUUAUUUCUAAAUGAAAUAAACGAAACGGAUAGCGUGCUACCUAUCUCUCAAAAAAAAAAAUAUUGCAUUAAUGUUUUUGUUAAUAGACUUUUCAUAUCAAACAGAAGUUUCUAUU
rnacentral:lncRNA from 1 species